rnacentral:rRNA from 1 species
ACGGCUCAGUAACACGUGGAUAACCUGCCCUCAGGUCCGGCAUAACCUCGGGAAACUGAGGAUAAUUCCGGAUAUCCCUUUUCUGCUGGAAGGCUUAAAGGGACAAAGAAUUUCGCCUGAGGAUGGGUCUGCGGCCUAUCAGGUUGUAGGGGGUGUAACGUACCCUCUAGCCGACAACGGGUACGGGUUGUGAGAGCAAGAGCCCGGAGAUGGAUUCUGAGACAUGAAUCCAGGCCCUACGGGGCGCAGCAGGCGCGAAAACUUUACAAUGCAGGAAACUGUGAUAAGGGAACACCGAGUGCUCGCAUCAAAUGCGGGCUGUCCACAUACCUAAAUCGUAUGUGUUAGCAAGGGCCGGGCAAGACCGGUGCCAGCCGCCGCGGUAAUACCGGUGGCCCGAGUGGUAGCCGCUUUUAUUGGGUCUAAAGGGUCCGUAGCCUGUCUGAUCAGUCCAUUGGGAAAUCCGGAUGCUCAACAUCCGGGCUUCCAGUGGAUACUGUCAGACUUGGGAUCGGGGGAGGUAAGAGGUACUACAGGGGUAGGAGUGAAAU